rnacentral:rRNA from 1 species
UACGUAGGGUGCGAGCGUUAAUCGGAAUUACUGGGCGUAAAGCGUGCGCAGGCGGUUUUGUAAGCCAGAUGCGAAAUCCCCGGGCUUAACCUGGGAAUGGCAUUUGGGACUGCAAGGCUCGAGUGCGGCAGAGGAGACUGGAAUUCCUGGUGUAGCAGUGAAAUGCGUAGAUAUCAGGAGGAACACCGAUGGCGAAGGCAGGUCUCUGGGCUGACACUGACGCUCAUGCACGAAAGCGUGGGGAGCAAACAGG